rnacentral:rRNA from 1 species
AUUGAACGCUGGCGGCAGGCCUAACACAUGCAAGUCGAGCGGAUGAAGGGAGCUGGCUCCUGGAUUCAGCGGCGGACGGGUGAGUAAUGCCUAGGAAUCUGCCUGCUCGUGGGGGAUAACGUCCGUAAACGGGCGCUAAUACCGCAUACGUACUGAGGGGGAAAGGGUGGGAUCUUCGGACCUCACGCUAUCAGAUGAGCCAAGGUCGGAUGAGCUAGCUGUGGGGGUAAAGGCCUACCAAGGCGACGAUCCGAAACUGGUAUGAGAGGAGCAUUAGUCAGCUUGUAACAGAGGAAGGGCAGCGACUCUUACGGGAGGAAGCAGCGGAGACUAUUGGAGGAUGGGCGAAAGCGUGAUCCAGCCAUGCGGGGUGUAUGAAGAAGGACUUCUGAUUGUAAAGCAAUUUAGGUCGGGAGGAAGUGAAGUAAGUUAAUACCUUGAUGUUUUGACGUUACCAAGAGAAUAAGCCCCGGCUAACUUCGUG